UACGUAGGUCCCGAGCGUUGUCCGGAUUUAUUGGGCGUAAAGCGAGCGCAGGUGGUUUAUUAAGUCUGGUGUAAAAGGCAGUGGCUCAACCAUUGUAUGCAUUGGAAACUGGUAGACUUGAGUGCAGGAGAGGAGAGUGGAAUUCCAUGUGUAGCGGUGAAAUGUGUAGAUAUAUGGAGGAACACCGGUGGCGAAAGCGGCUCUCUGGCCUGUAACUGACACUGAGGCUCGAAAGCGUGGGGAGCAAACAGG
rnacentral:rRNA from 1 species